UGUCAUUUUUUGUGUGUGUUUCUGCAGGCUAAGGUUGAUCCUUCGAAACCUGCAUCUCUAACUUGGCAUCGAAAGUUGAAUGCAUCAGACUUUGUCCCUGCACAAUUCAAUCUAACUGUGGCGGAAAUAAUUCAUAUGCUAGAUGCUCUAAAACUAUAAAACCAGAUCAGGGUAAUAACAGGCGAGUCGAACCUUUUCUCCUCAUUCUUCUAUAGGAUAUUCAUCACAUAACUUCUGCACAUCACUCUCUUUGAUACAAGCUCCCAUUGGUUAUCGAUUAUGGCAUCAUAUUCAGGAAGAAGCAGCUAAAGGAAAGGCGACAAUAAUUAAUCCUCUAAUGAAGCGUUACAUCAUAUCAUGUUAUGGUGUUCCACUCGGCGGCAUUGGGGUGACCAUGUCAAAAUUCGCGUCAAUCUUUCUUAUUCUCAGAUGCAACAAAUGUUCAAACAUUUGGUAAUAUGUUCAUUACUUGAGAACUGUCUUUAAUUAUUCCUCUUGCGGAUUGUUAUCCCUUUUGCCUUUCUUGGAGAUAACAUGUGUAUUUAAAACAUCUCACUGCAAUAUUUAUUUUUGAGUUUACCUAACAACAUUUACCAUGACUAUGUUACAAAUAUGUACUAUUGGCUAAACACAAUCACGUAUAGCCUUGAUACUUACAGGGGCUUUGGGUUGUUGUUGGUGUCAUAUCCCGCAUCCGGAUCGUCAAGGAAGCUAUUUGUCAAUUUAUGACCCGUCUGUCCUACCCUUUCAGGUUUUUUUUAUUUAUUUUAAGUUUAAAAAUA